GUACAAAUUCCGCUGAGCAAAAGAAUAAGAGUUGCUGAACAGCAGCCAAGAGACUAACCCAGCAACAGCUGACAUGGAUACACAUCUUGUCUCCACAUUUGAAGGUGAAGAGAAACCCAAGUUGCCAGAGCUCAGAGGACAUUUUGAAAUCGACAUCACCACCACCGUUCCUUCUUACGUGCUUUUCUUAAGCAGUUGUGACAUGCCCAGCACUGCCUGGAGUGUGGUGAUGAGUACCAUAUCACCACAAGUCUUCAAGGCCUAAGGUAGUAUUUUGGGCAGUGGCACGGGGUAUAGGAUAUGUUUCCAGCCACCUGGUAGUUAUUUUCUCCAUUGUAAGCACAUGGCAUUUGCUAUUUCAGGUUUGUGGUUCUGCGGCUAACAAAUCAACUGAUGGAUGGGAAAUCGGGGAAUCUCAAACAGUAUGAUACUACCACUGGUGCACCAGUGUGGUAGUGAUCAGUGCCUGCUGUUCUUCAGCUCUUAGCAAUCCCCCAUCAGAAAGGUCUUUUGAGAGGAUGGGCGAGGUAGACAGUUGCCUGAUGUUCUCCAUCUCCAAGGCACCUAUACAAAAAACCUAUUGGUAUUCUUUGAGUCCUUGAAGUACCCUUUCCUGAGGUAAUCUACACCAAGGAUGUGCAGAGCCUCUGGACCAGUCGCAAUGGGGUGUUUUUGCUACUCAUUCUCAGUCAGGCUCAAUUCAGACUCCACUAAAAUUAGCUCCUGGGAUCCCCCUGUCACUCCGGAGGUACAGACAGGUUCUGACCCUUCAUAACUUUAUGGCACUAGGCUCUUAUACUCCUGUGGUUCUGAUGUGCCAAGCCAUUGAAUCCGCACAGCCCAAUAAACCCGAUUGUCCCUUUCCUCCACCUGACUGGAGGCAGGGCCCUUCUAGUUCUGGUUAUUCUAUUCAUCAGUCAUGAAUGCAAACCACAAGGCUGGUUAUCAAACUCAGAAAUAAGGUCAGACCACCUACUCUGUUUGAAGAACUGCCCACUGGAGACUGGAGUGGUCAUUUUCCAGGAAGAACUCUCUUUUGUGAUGGCUUUCCCUCGCAACUCACAUAUCCAUACCUCUAGGCUUCAAGUGAGUUUUCCAUCCCAUUUCCUCAUAUCCUCUCCAUGGCCAUGCAGGUAAGACCACCGGUUAGCACGUGGUGUAUACCCAAUAUAUCUUCUGUCUUGAAUUAAAAAAUGCUUACUUCUGGUAUCUGAGAUGCUAGUCCAUGCAGAUAGGACAGAAGAUUUAUUCCCUUUGAGUUGUUGGGCCACUUCGGAAUGCUUCUCCACAGCUGAAACACAGGCCCUUAGAGAGAAGGAGAGAGAUAUUUUGCUGGAGUUCAUCAGCGAAUUUAUCCACCAUUUGUUCCUCUCCCUCUUUCCAGGUCAUUUCUGCAGUGAGUUGGCAUACAGAGAUGGUGAACUCCGUACAAACUUACGCCACAUGGAUUGUGGAAUAACACAUCUCAAUUUUGGAAUAAUCAGAAGUUCAGGCCAAUAUUAUGCACCAUCUCCAGCACAGCCAAUUCCCUCAGAUACUGGAUACCUCUUUCCAUGGUGGUCCACUUGCCUGGUUGACAUAAUAUUGUCCCUAGAGGAACUGCAGCAACCUGGCUCCCAUGCUCACUGAAUCCAGACUAUCAACACCACAUCCCAGCAUUGAAGCGGCUGGGUGACAGCGUGCUCACCUGGAUGAUCGCUGAAAUCUUUCCACAUAUCUUGCACAGGUAUCAGGCAUCAGUUUCAGAAAUGGCCAGCCUGUUCUGAGGGAGGUUCCAGGGAACUACAGUCAAGGCAGCUUCACCUCAAACCCUGGGAAUGAUCUGCAGACAUGUGAAGGAAAAGAAAGUGAUGAUAUAAACCUAUGAAGUGUGGCCUAGGUAAGUGGAUUGAACACUCUGAUGUGGACUGAACGCUGACUGAACUGCUGGGCUCAGAGGACUAGAGGUACACAAUCCAGUGGCUAGCCAGUCCCUAAUAGUAUAGCCCAGGGCUUGAUACUGACCCUAAUACUGCUUAACUUCUUCAUCACUGACACAGAUGCUGUGACAGAGUAUUUAUCACCUGCAAACUUGCAGAGAUAGCACAAGACUGGGAGGUGUGGCUGCCACACGAGGAGAGGGGCUUUGGCAGGCUGGAGAAAGUUUCACAAAGCGGCAUGAAAUUUAACAAAUGGAAUUGUGGAACCUGGGAAGGAAUAACCUCACAUGCCAGUAUGCAUAGGGGACCGAGUGACUGGAAGGAAGUUUUGCUGAGAAGAACCUGGUUGUCCUGGUGGACACCAAGUUUAAUGUGAGCCAGCAACAGGCUCUUGUCACAUCAAAGGUCAACAGUACCCUCUUCAAAAUGGUUUGUUGUUCCUUGUGCAAGAGGAAGUAAAACCGUAACUGUCAAAGCCUACUAAGUAUGUAAAUGGAGGGAAAGCCUUGAAAAGAGAAGUACUCUGAAUCUGUGACGAUGCAUGCAAAUAUCAUCUUAUUCAGUGAUUGUAUGACCAUUUUAAACCGUAACCUGGAGGCACAUGUUUAAAUCCAUAAGCAUUCCAAAGAAAAAAGAAAGAUAACAGUCCUUUAGAACACAUGUAGGCUUUCCCUCUUCUGCGUAGUUUGUAUAUUGCACGUAUUUGCCCACUUCUACGUGUAAUUAUUAUAAAAGUCUUCAAAAUCAAAACUUUUUUGACAAAUCAAGUAAAGUAACUAAAAUAAUGUGUCUUUGCAGCACAGGUGAAGGUGCCUCUGCUUUGAUUUCAGUAUUACUCUUACCUUUCCAUAUACAGCCUUUGUGAACUUUCCACAGCCAGCCUCAUUACUUAGAGUUGCAAACAUUCUCAGCACAGAUGUCAUGUACACUGUUGUCAUGAUUUGCAGUAGAUUUCCCAGAAACUGAAGAGGUUGCUCACACACUGCUAUAGCCACAAAGCUUCAGAAUACGAUUGUCACCCGAUCUUUUUACUCCUUACCUGAGUGGUUUUCCGUUUGGUGUCUCCAUACUACAGUGUUUGAAUGCACUCAGUGCCAGAAACAUGAACCUCUUCAGCCAAAGGAACCACAGAAACCCCACUGUUCACCCCUAUUGCCCCAAAUCUGGUUUCAUGAAAUGACUGCAUAUCUAAAGUCGCAGCCCACAUUUCUUGACCAUGCAAUUGGUUCACAGACGUAUGCUGCAGUUUUAAAGCAGUGUCUAUGCUUCUGCUUCUGCUUAUUCUCAGUAGCUGGGUCAGUCUGAGACUUCUGAAAUUGUGUCAAUCAUUCGGUUUUAGAGAAGGGGACUGUGGUUAAAUGGUAUCGAGUGGUGUAUUUCAAAGCAUGCCACGUGUGGAUUGGGUAGAGAUGUUCAGCAUCAGCAGAGGUUAGACGAGAGAGGGGAACAGGAUGGAGCAGCAGGAAGAUACAAUUUGGAGAGUUGUGGUCUGGAAGAAAUUGCAUUCCUCUGAUGCCUUUACUUUAAAUAUUGCAUGGCUAUGCUCAGGAAGUCCUACAUGAAGAAAUAUUGUAGCAGAGGUGUCUUCCUGGAAAAAUAAGUCCCCUGGGAAAGACAUCCCUCAGAAGUCCAUUCUUUUUAUCUCCAGGUAAGCUAUGUUGCAUGUGUAUUCAAAGGCAGAAUGGAUGUAAAUGCUUGUAGAGCAACUUUGCCUGUAGUAAAGCAGUGUUUCCAAAUCAGAGAACAUAAACAGAAGGAGCAACAUGAGACGCAUGUAUAACUGUAGCUAUACAAAAAUAAAUGUAAGCCAAAUUUACAGAAGUCGUAGAAGUAUGUAUCUCAAGGCUGAAUGCAAUUAAGUGUAAGGAAGAUGAUUAAUUUUACCCUCAAAUCUUCUGAACUUUGAGCAAAUAUAUAUAUCUUCAUGUAGACGUGCAACAUUUAAAUCUUUAGUAAUGAAGUAUUUUAUGUCUUCUGAACCCUUAAAAUUAGUUCAGAAUUAAUCGGCUUAUGGUCAAGACUUUCCUCUUCGGUUUGUAAAGUGCUGUAAUUGCAGGCAUUACAGACCACUUGGCUUCAGUUGCAGACAGAAGCUGCAGCCUGUCUUUCAGCUCAGACUGACCGUCAGAACUCAGUUCUUCUAAUUUGUCUCACUUCCUCAUGCUGCAUUCACUGUUGUGCUGCUCAGCGCUGUUGUACAGGACAUGCAGAAACUCAGAAGCAAAUUCUGCC
ensembl:lncRNA